UGUGAUGAUAUCAUGUUGAAACAAAUACUAGUUCCCCUUUGAUCACUGACAUUAAGCAACAUUGAGCCUGGUUAGUACCUAGAUGGGGGACAACUUGGGAAUAUCAGUUGCAGUA